GUCUACGGCCAUACUACCCUGAACACACCUGACCUCAUCUGAUUUUGGAAGUUAAGCAGGAUCAAGCCAGGUUAGUACAGAAUGAGAGACAAUCCAAUGCCCUUGAUC
ensembl:rRNA 5S_rRNA 5S ribosomal RNA